GAGUCACUAGUGCACUCAUCAGUCCUGGGUCUUUAACCAGAAGCCGUGGUCAAAUCUCAUUAGCCUGCUCUGCCUCCAAGAGGAGGGAGAUCACCUGUCAGUCACUGGUACUUCAUGACAAGCCAUAGGAAAAGGAGCUUUAAGUCCACUGGUGCUCUAAAACCAGGAAAGAGGAUAAAUAUUCUUGGAUAUCAGCUGUGACAGAAGCGUCUGCAGCAGUACCAGGGAUCAAACUCAGGACCUUGCGCUUGCCAGGCAGACAUGGCGCCACUGUGUCAUGGUUACUUCUAACCUAGGAUCCUAUGCACAACCAAAAGCAAACAGAACAUUUUGCGACAAAUGUCUAGAAAAC
rnacentral:lncRNA from 1 species